rnacentral:rRNA from 1 species
UACAGAGGGGGCGAGCGUUGUUCGGAAUUACUGGGCGUAAAGGGCGCGUAGGCGGCCCGCUAAGUCGAACGUGAAAUCCCCGGGCUCAACCCGGGAACUGCGUCCGAUACUGGCAGGCUUGAAUCCGGGAGAGGGAUGUGGAAUUCCAGGUGUAGCGGUGAAAUGCGUAGAUAUCUGGAGGAACACCGGUGGCGAAGGCGGCAUCCUGGACCGAGAUCGACGCUGAGGCGCGAAAGCUAGGGGAGCAAACGGG